rnacentral:rRNA from 1 species
GUGCCAGCAGCCGCGGUAAUACAGAGGUCCCAAGCGUUGUUCGGAUUUACUGGGCGUAAAGGGCGCGUAGGUGGUAGGCUAAGUCUGGUGUGAAAGCUCUGAGCUUAACUCAGAAAUGGCACUAGAUACUAGUUUGCUUGAGGGUUGGAGGGGAGACUGGAAUUCUCGGUGUAGCAGUGAAAUGCGUAGAUAUCGAGAGGAACACCAGUGGCGAAGGCGAGUCUCUGGACAACUCCUGACACUGAGGCGCGAAAGCUAGGGGAGCAAACGGGAUUAGAAACCCCCGUAGUCC